rnacentral:siRNA from 1 species
UGUCCUCGUGUUGCAUCCCU